CGAGCACGCGCGUGUGGCAUAUCAAUAAGCGGAGGAAAAGAAACUAACAAGGAUUCCCUUAGUAACGGCGAGUGAAGCGGGAAGAGCUCAAAUUUGAAGUCUUCAAGGUUCUACCUUGACGAAUUGUAGUUUAUAGAAGUGUUUUCUGUUAGUAGAGUGGCAAAAGUUCUUUGGAAUAGGACAUCAUAGAGGGUGAGAAUCCCGUAUUUGGUCAUUCCUUCUAGCGUUGUGAUACACUUUCAACGAGUCGGAUUGUUUGGGAAUGCAGUCCAAAAUGGGUGGUAAAUUUCAUCUAGAGCUAAAUAUUGGCGAGAGACCGAUAGCGAACAAGUACCGUGAGGGAAAGAUGAAAAGAACUUUGAAAAGGGAGUUAAACAGUACGUGAAAUUGUCAAAAGGGAAGCGUUUGACACCAGUGUUGUUUUUCCGAAAAUCAAUUACGAAUGUUUUGUUUUUAAGAAGUUAUGACUUCAUCGGCUUGCUUCUUUCUUUACGAAACUUUCUUAAUGCACUUUUCGGUUAACAAGUCAACAUCAAUUUCUUUUGUUGUAAAAGGGUAUGAGGAAGGUGGCUUUCUUUUCGGAGAAAGUGUUUAUAGCCUUUGGCUUCUACAAUCGGAGAGAUUGAGGUCUGCAGCGUAGAUCCUUCGGGGUUAGAUACGUAGAUGCUAAGUUAUAGUUUUUUAUAGACAACUUGUUGACUAUGAUUAAUCAUGUAGCUUACUCGUUUACGCUAUUUUACCUACGCUUAGGAUGUUGAACUCUAUCACACACA
rnacentral:rRNA from 1 species